CGAAAGCCUGACGGAGCAAUACCGCGCUGAGGGAGGAAGGCUCUUGGGUUGUAAACCUCUUUUCUCAGGGAAGAACGCAAUGACGGUACCUGAGGAAUAAGCAUCGGCUAACUCCGUGCCAGCAGCCGCGGUAAUACGGAGGAUGCAAGCGUUAUCCGGAAUGA
rnacentral:rRNA from 1 species